UAAUUUAUAGAUUCAGUGCCAUCCCCAUCAAGCUACCAAUGACUUUCUUCACAGAAUUGGAAAAAACUACUUUAAAGUUCAUAUGGAACCAAAAAAGAGCCUGCAUUGCCAAGGAAGUCAGUGUGGUGAUUCCUCAGGGACCUAGAACUAGAAAUACCAUCUGACCCAGCCAUCCCAUUACUGGUAUGUACCCAAAGGAUUAUGAAUCAUGCUGCUAUAAAGACACAUGCACAUGUGUGCUUAUUGUUUCCAACCUACUCAAUCAAAAGAAAGGUUUAGCUCUGUGAGAUGAAUCCACAUACCACAAAGUAGUUUCACAAAUAGAUUUUUUGCAGUUUUUAUCUGGGGAUAUUCAGUUUUUCCCGAGACCUCAGUCG
rnacentral:lncRNA from 1 species